rnacentral:Y_RNA from 1 species
GGCUGGUCGAAGGUAGUGAGUCAUCUCAACUGAUUAUUCACAGUCACAGUUAUAGAUCAAAUUCCUUGUUCUACUGUAUCCCCUCUUCUCAUUACUGCACUUAAAUAGUCUUAA